rnacentral:rRNA from 1 species
CGGUGGGAAACAAGGGCGUAUGGUGGAUGCCUUGGCUUAAGGAGGCGAUGAAGGACGCGAGCUAGCGGCGAUACGCUCCGGGGAGGUGCUAAGCAACUUUUGAUCCGGAGGUCUCCGAAUGGGGAAACCUGUUUCGGUAAAACCGAUUCGUCCAGCCGUAAUUUCAGUUCUUUUAGUUAGUUAUUUUGUAGGAAAAGCGAAUCUGACAAGUCCGUCCGUCUUAACUGGUGAUCCCAGCGAUUGGUGUAAGCCGAUUGUGAUGCCGGCAGUGCGCAAGGGAAGUUCGUAACCGGCAGGUAGUCGUGAGUGCACUCAAAAUCAAAGCCUGCUUCUCCUACAAACACUCCCAAACUAACGGUUUGGGAACUGAAAUUACGGCUGGAAGCGUACCCUGGGAAGUAAAACAUUUCAGUACCAGGAGGAGUAGAAACCAAUAAGUAUUCCGUCAGUAGCGGCGAGCGAACGCGGAGAAGCCCAAACCGAUGCGUAGCAUCGGAAAUUCCAAAUCACAAUUUCCAAAUCACAAACAAAUCUCAAAUCUAAAACUCAAACGACUUUCUGAAGUCGUUCCCGCGCAGGCGGAAAUCCAGUUUAAUCUGGUUCCCCGUUUACACGGGGAUGACAUUAAGAAAUGUCAUUUCGGGCUUUGGAUAUUGGGUAUUGUUUGGAAUUUGGUGCUUGGGUAUUGGAGAUUCCGCUGCUGCGCAGCGGUGUUGUAAGGCAGAAGCGUCGUAUUUAUACGAGGAAAGUUACAAAAUUGUUUGUUAAUGGAAGUUGCUGGAAAGCGACACCCCAGAGGGUGAUAGUCCCGUACAUGAAAACAAACAAUCUUUCUUGCUUCUGUUCUUGAGUACCUCAAGACACGAAUAGCUUGGGGGAAUCCGCCGGAACUAACCGGCAAGGCUAAAUACUUCUUAAGACCGAUAGUGAACUAGUACCGUGAGGGAAAGGUGAAAAGCAGCCCGGUGAGGGCGGUGAAAUAGACCUGAAACCAUAUGCUUACAAGGAGUGCGACCGUUAACUAUUGACUAUUAACUUUUGACUUUAUUGUUAAGAGUUAGCGGUUAAAGGUUAAUAGUUGCGGUGCGGAGCGCCGUCACCGCGUGCCUAUUGAAGAAUGAGCCAACGAGUUGAUGUAUUCGGCUUGCCUAAGUGCGAGAGCGCGGAGGCGAAGCGAAAGCGAGUGUUAAUAGCGCGACAAUAUGUCGAAUCCAUCAGACCCGAAGCCAGGUGAGCUUACCAUGAGCAGGAUGAAUCCGCCAGAAAUGGCGGAGGAGGUCCGAACGCUAGAGCUGUGCAAUACUCUGCGAUGACUUGUGGUAAGGAGUGAUAAGCUAAUCGAACCUGGUAAUAGCUGGUUCUCUCCGAAAUAGCUUUAGGGCUAGCGUCGUGCGUUCCUUUUGGGGGUAGAGCUCUGGAUGGUCUAAAUAGGUCGAAAGACCGUUAGACCAAUCAAACUUCGAAUACCAAAAGCGCCCGCAUCACAGGGAAUGUGAUGCGGAGAAGUAGGAUUUACGAUUUACGAUUUAUGAAUAAGACAGUCUUAUUUCUUAAAUCCUACUUCUUAAAUCAUACAUCUCCGCAUCGCGUUUCGCGCGAUGCGGGUAGAAUGCGGCAGUUAGACCGUGGGGGCUAAGCUCCAAAGGUCAAAAAGGGAAGAGCCUAUGAUCUCCAGUUAAGGUCCCAAAAUCUGCGCUCAGUACAUCACAAGGAAGUGGAAUUUCUCUGACAAUGAGGAUGUAGGCUUAGAAGCAGCCAUCAUUGAAAGAAAGCGUAACAGCUCACUCAUCGAGAAAUUCUGCACCGAAGAUAAUCGGGGUUAAGCGCAGUACCGAAACUGAGGGUGCCUCGUGUAGAACACAAGGAAAUUCCAAAUUACAAUUCCCAAAUCACAAACAAACGACUUAUCUUAAGUCGUUCCCGCGAAAGCGGGAAUCCAGAUUUCUUGGUUCCCCGCCUCCGCGGGGAUGACAUUAAGAAAUGUCAAUUGUUUGGAAUUUGGUGCUUGGUUAUUGGGAUUUUCUCGCGUUCUACGCGAGGUGCGGUAGGAGAGUAUUCGCAUCUGCAGUGAAGCCAAAGGGGUGACCCAUGGUGGAGCGUUGCGAAGUAAGAAUGUUGGCACAAGUAACCACAAUGCGGGUGAGAAACCCGCACGCCGAAAGACUAAGGUUUCCUCCUCGAUGAUUGUCAGAGGAGGGUUAGUCGGGCCUAAGGGGAUGGCGAAAGCCGCACCUGAUGGACACACGGUUAAUAUUCCGUGACUUUGGCGCGUUUCGACGGAGUGACGAAGUCUAGUAUGCCGUGCGCAUUAUUGGAUUUGACGUUCUUGGCUCGGAGACGACUUCCAGGCAAAUCCGGGAGUCUGCCUUUAAUGGCGAGUCGAAGGAGCAGAGAAGACCCGCCUAACUUUGUUUCGGAAAUUGAGAGUGUUGUUGGUUGAGAAUUUUUUUGGAGAUUCUUAACUAGCACACAUUUCUAUUGUUCGGAGACAAAGUUGGGCGGGGAUAUGGCAAAUCGGACUUCCAAGAAAAACUUCUAAGAUUAAACGCGACAAAACCGUACCGUAAACCGACACAGGUAGUCAGCUCGAGUAGAGCAAGGCGAACGAAUGAGAGGUCUCCAAGGAACUCGGCAAAAAAGCGGCCGUAACUUCGGAAUAAGGCCUGCCUUGUGCGAAGCACAAGGAAAUUCUAAUUUCUAAUUUCUAAUUUCUAAACAAAUUCCAAAUUCUAAAAUUCAAAUCUCAAACGCGGUUGUUUGGGGCUUGUGAUUUCUGAUUUGUGUUUUGUUUAGGGUUUAGAGUUUAGUUUUUAGGAUUUCCUCGCGCUUCGCGCGAGGCCACAGCUAAAGUCUGCCUGGCGACUGUUUAUCAAAAACACAGCUCCCUGCGAACUCGUAAGAGAAUGUAUAGGGGGUGACACUUGACCAAUGCCAGAAGGUCAAAUAACGGCGGUGCUAUGGUCGCAAGAUUGUAGUGCUGACUGUUAUAAGCCCUGGUGAAUGUCGGCGAUAACUAUAAUCGUCCUAAGGUUUCAUUACGCAAUAUAUAUGACAAAGUGUCAAAUUGCGUAGUGAAAGGAUUGGGACGAUUAUGGGUAAAAAUUGAUAAACAAAAUUAAACUAUUCAAACAGUAAAAUAAGACGCUGCCCAUUUCGCAAAAGCGGAAUGUCCUAAACUAGCUAUAUGCUGGAAUAUCCGAGUAUCUUCAAGUACUCACAAGCUGUAGAAGUUUAACUUUUACAGGAGUAAAAAUCUUGAAGUGCGGACAAUCAGCAGGAAAGCUUGUGAACUUCAUUGAGGAAAAAUAAAAGAAAGGAGGUGUAUAUAUGGGUCCCACUAUUCUGUUCGGUGGACUAAGCUGGUUUGCAUACUGGUUUAUUUUCACUCCAACAAGCGUUGAUGGAAGAUCAACCCUUGUAUUGGUCACCGUCUUUUUGGCGGUGGUAGCAGUAAAAUGCGAUCAUUGGAUCGAAGAACGAAACAGCCGCCAAAACGGCAAAACUCGAUAAGAAUCACUAGAGGGCUCUCAUCGAGUCCUCGAAGUUCACAAGAAUCCUCAGAAACCAAACGCUAGCUCCGAUGUAAGUCGGAGAAGAUAGAGUUCGUCCUGCAUGGCGACAUGCAGAUUAACAAAAGAUAGCGCAAUUCCUUAAAGAUAGGGACCAUCCGCCGUUGCGGAUGGAAAACUUGGCUAUAUGCUGGAACAUCCGGUGUAUCCAACAGUACCGAAAGGUAACAAUCUGUUGGUGCGGCCUAAUCCGUAAGAACGGACGGCCAACGGACAAUCAGCAGGAAAGAUCCGCCUUUUGCGGAAAUCCUCAACGACCAUACGCCAAGGCCGCUUCGGAAGCGGCAUGAUAUGGCCUGAACUGCAUGGCGACAUGCAGAGUUUGGCUCGCGCCAAACCGCCAAGCACAUUAUUGAUAGUGUGCUCGGUCACUUCCGCUUCUGUCGCGGAACACAAGUAACAGAUUGUGUCGGGUAAGUUCCGACGCGUUGAAUAGUGUAACGUCUGGGCAACUGUCUCGGAGACUCGUUCGGUGAAAAUACAAUACCGGUGAAGAUGCCGGUUACCUGCAGCUAGACGAAAAGACCCCGGAAGCUUUACUGCAACUUGGUAUUGCUUGUAUGUUUUAACUGCGUAGCGUAGGCGGGAGACUUUGAAGUCCUGAUCUCGGUCGGGAUGGAGUCGCCGAUGAAACACCGCUCUGUUGAAAUGUACCGGCUAACCUCGCCGGCAAAAACGGCGAGAGACAGUACCUGGCGGGCAGUUUUAGUGGGGCGCUACCCUUCUAAAGAGUAACGAAGGGGUCCAUCAAGGUCAGCUAGGCGCGAAUGGAAACCGUGCCGAUAGUGCAAUGGCAUAAGCUGGCCUCACUGUAAGGCGUAAGUGCCGAACAGACGCGAAAGCGGGGCAUAGUGAACCGACCGUUCGCAUUAGAUGCGGCGGAAGAUUAUCUGCUAAAAGCUACUCCGGGGAUGGACGCUGAAAUAAGCGUCUUGUUGUCCCUUCUAUCAGUAAUGAUAGAAUUAGUAUGCGGCUUAUAACGGUGGAGCGAGAAUCGGUCUUUCCUCAAAAGAGGUUUUCGUAUUCUCGUAAUACCGUGGGAAGUCCCACUACU